rnacentral:lncRNA from 1 species
AUGCUGCUGUUGCUCCUGCUCCUCACGAGCGUUUCCCAGCAUGCUCUGGCUGGGGUGGUGGAGGUGAAUGAGGGGGAAAAGUCUGUCCUACUAUCAUGUCUGAACUCAGGUUCUAUACCAGAGGACAAUCCCACAGUUAUGUGGACUCGCAGUGACCUCAAUCCAAAAUCUGUACAUUGGCGAAGAAGAGGAGACGACCUCAAAGGACAAAACCAGCGUUACAGAGAACGUACAUCAAUGAGGCCUGAUGCUCUGGACUCUUCAGACUUCAGCCUCACUCUGAAAAAACCAACAAAAACUGACAGCGGCAACUACAGCUGCUCCAUCAGUGAUGGACGAGAGGAACGGAGAGUCACAGACAUCCAGCUGAAGGUCAAAGGUUAGCAGAAAAACUCCAACAAAUGUUGUAAUUACUGUUCAUAAGUCAGAUCUGUAGACAAUUGUCAGAGG